CUAACAAGGAUUCCCCUAGUAACGGCGAGUGAAGCGGGAAGAGCUCAAAUUUGAAAUCUGGCGGUCUUCGGCCGUCCGAGUUGUAGUUUCGAGAAGCGUUUUCCGCGUCGGACCGUGUACAAGUCCCUUGGAACAGGGCGUCGUAGAGGGUGAGAAUCCCGUCUUUGACACGGACUGCCGGUGCUCUGUGAUGCGCUCUCAAAGAGUCGAGUUGUUUGGGAAUGCAGCUCAAAAUGGGUGGUAAAUUCCAUCUAAAGCUAAAUAUUGGCGAAAGACCGAUAGCGAACAAGUACCGUGAGGGAAAGAUGAAAAGCACUUUGGAAAGAGAGUUAAACAGUACGUGAAAUUGUUGAAAGGGAAACGCUUGAAGUCAGUCGCGUCUCUCGGGACUCAGCCUUGCUCUUCUGCUUGGUGCACUUCCCGAGGCGACGGGCCAGCAUCGAUUUCGACCGUCGGAGAAAGGCUUUGGGAACGUGGCACCUCCGGGUGUGUUAUAGCCCAUGGUCGUAUGCGACGGCUGGGAUCGAGGUUCGCAGCACGCCUUCAUUGGCCGGGGUUCGCCCACGUAACGUGCUUAGGAUGCUGGCGUAAUGGCUUUAAACGACCCGUCUUGA
rnacentral:rRNA from 1 species